rnacentral:rRNA from 1 species
CUAAGUGGGAAAGGAUGUGGAGUUGUCAAAACAGCUAGGAGGUUGGCUCAGAAGCAGCCAUCCUUUAAAGAGUGCGUAAUAGCUCACUAGUCGAGUGACACUGCGCCGAAGAUGUACCGGGGCUAAGUACAAUACCGAAACUGCGGAUUCACAUUUAUAUGUGAGUGGUAGGGGAGCGUUCCAAGUUGAGUUGAAGGUAGACCGUGAGGACUGCUGGAUUACUUGGAAGUGAGAAUGCCGGUGUGAGUAGCGCAAGAUGGGUGAGAAUCCCAUCCACCGUUUGACUAAGGGUUCCUGGGGCAGGUUCGUCCGCCCAGGGUUAGUCGGGUCCUAAGACGAGGCCGAGAGGCGUAGCCGAUGGACAACAGGUUGAUAUUCCUGUACUACCUAUAAGACUGAUGGAGUGACGGAGAAGGUUAGGAAAAGCCAGUUAUUGGAUUCUGGUCUAAGCACAAAGGCUUAUAAAUUAGGAAAUCUGUUUAUAAUUAAGCUGAAGUGUGAUGGUGAAGUCGCUUGCGACGAAAUUUUCUGACACCAUGCUUCCAAGAAAAGCUUCUAGGGUUAAUCUUAUAGGUACCCGUACUCAGAACCGACACAGGUGGUCAAGGAGAGUAUCCUAAGGUGAGCGAGAGAACUAUGGUUAAGGAACUCGGCAAAAUAACCCCGUAACUUCGGGAGAAGGGGUGGUCACUAGAUGACCGACACUAAAGACGCCCAGGCAACUGUUUACCAAAAACACAGGUCUCUGCUAAGUCGUAAGACGAUGUAUAGGGGCUGACACCUGCCCAGUGCUGGAAGGUUAAGAGGAGUGCUUAGAUAGACGCAAGUCGAUUAUUCGAAGGUACGAAUUGAAGCCCCAGUGAACGGCGGCCGUAACUAUAACGGUCCUAAGGUAGCGAAAUUCCUUGUCAGGUAAGUUCUGACCCGCACGAAAGGUGUAAUGAUCUGGGCACUGUCUCAACCAUAGACUCGGUGAAAUCUUAAUACCUGUGAAAAUGCAGGUUACCCGCAACAGGACGGGAAGACCCCAUGGAGCUUUACUGUAGCUUGAUAUUGAAGUUCGGUAUAUUAUGUAGAGAAUAGGUGGGAGACUAUGAAGUUAGGACGCUAGUUCUAAUGGAGUCACCUUUGGAAUACCACCCUUAAUGUAUUGAAUUUCUAACCUCGAUUCAUUAUCUGGAUCAGGGACAGUGUCUGGUGGGCAGUUUGACUGGGGCGGUCGCCUCCCAAAAAGUAACGGAGGCGCCCAAAGGUUCCCUCAGAAUGGUUGGACAUCAUUCAAAGAGCGUAAAGGUAUAAGGGAGCUUGACUGCGAGACCAACAAGUCGAGCAGAUACGAAAGUAGGGCUUAGUGAUCAGACGAUUCAGAAUGGAAUGGUCGUCGCUUAACGGAUAAAAGUUACCCUGGGGAUAACAGGCUGAUACCACCCAAUAGUUCACAUAGACGGUGGUGUUUGGCACCUCGAUGUCGGCUCGUCGUAUCCUGGAGGUG